rnacentral:rRNA from 1 species
AUUGAACGCUGGCGGCAGGCCUAACACAUGCAAGUCGAGCGGAUGAAGGGAGCUUGCUCCUGGAUUCAGCGGCGGACGGGUGAGUAAUGCCUAGGAAUCUGCCUGGUAGUGGGGGAUAACGUCCGGAAACGGGCGCUAAUACCGCAUACGUCCUGAGUGAGAAAGGGGGGGAUCUUCGGACCUCACGCUAUCAGAUGAGCCUAGGUCGGAUUAGCUAGUUGGUGGGGUAAAGGCCUACCAAGGCGACGAUCCGUAACUGGUCUGAGAGGAUGAUCAGUCACACUGGAACUGAGACACGGUCCAGACUCCUACGGGAGGCAGCAGUGGGGAAUAUUGCACAAUGGGCGAAAGCCUGAUCCAGCCAUGCCGCGUGUGUGAAGAAGGUCUUCGGAUUGUAAAGCACUUUAAGUUGGGAGGAAGGGCAGUAAGUUAAUACCUUGCUGUUUUGACGUUACCAAAAGAAUAAGCACCGGCUAACUUCGUG